AUACUUACCUGGCAGGGGAGAUACCAUGAUCACGAAGGUGGUUUUCCCAGGGUGAGGCUCAUCCAUUGCACUGCGGGUGUGCUGACCCCUGCGAUUUCCCCAAAUGCGGGAAACUCGACUGCAUAAUUUGUGGUAGUGGGGGACUGCGUUCGCGCUUUCCCCUG
ensembl:snRNA U1 U1 spliceosomal RNA